GUUAAGUCAGGCAACGAGCGAGACCCACGCCAACCAGUUGCCAGCUCGUCCUCCGGGAUGGUGGGGGACACUGUUGGGACCGCCUCUGCUAAAGAGGAGGAAGGGAAAUGGGCAACGGUAGGUCAGCAUGCCCCGAAUUAUCUGGGCUACACGCGGGCUACAAUGGGUGGGACAAUGGGUAUCGACACCGAAAGGUGAAGGCAAUCUCCUAAACCCAUCCGUAGUUCGGAUUGUGGGCUGCAACUCGCCCACAUGAAGCUGGAAUCUGUAGUAAUCGUGUCUCAAAAUGGCACGGUGAAUAUGUCCCUGCUCCUU
rnacentral:rRNA from 1 species